rnacentral:rRNA from 1 species
UACAGAGGUCUCAAGCGUUGUUCGGAUUCAUUGGGCGUAAAGGGUGCAUAGGCGGCGCGGUAAGUCGGGUGUGAAAUCUUGGAGCUUAACUCCGAAACUGCAUUCGAUACUGCCGUGCUUGAGGACUGGAGAGGAGACUGGAAUUUACGGUGUAGCGGUGAAAUGCGUAGAUAUCGUAAGGAGGACCAGUGGCGAAGGCGGGGUCUCUGGACAGUUCCUGACGCUGAGGCACGAAGGCCAGGGGAGCAAACGGG